AUACGGAGGGUGCAAGCGUUAUCCGGAUUUAUUGGGUUUAAAGGGUGCGUAGGCGGUUAUUUAAGUCAGUGGUGAAAGUUUUCGGCUCAACCGGAAAAUUGCCAUUGAUACUGUGAGGCUAGGAUUUGGUUGCUGUGGGUGGAAUGUGUGGUGUAGCGGUGAAAUGCUUAGAGAUCACACAGAAUAUCGAUUGCGAAGGCAGCUCACAAAGCCAAGAUUGACGCUGAGGCACGAAAGUGUGGGGAUCAAACAGGAUUAGAUACCCUGGUAGUCCACACUGUAAACGAUGAUAACUCGCUGUCGGCGAUAUACAGUCGGUGGCCAAGCGAAAGCGAUAAGUUAUCCACCUGGGGAGUACGAUCGCAAGGUUGAA
rnacentral:rRNA from 1 species